AGUGGUAGAGCUGGGUCACAUGGUGGUUCCAUUCCAAGUUUUCUAAGUAAACUUUAUACUGCUUUCCAGAUUGGUUGCACCAAUUUGUAGUCCCACCAGCAAU
rnacentral:pre_miRNA from 1 species